GCUGGGUGUGAUGGCACACACCUGUAAUCCCAGUGACUCAGGAGGCUGAGACAAAAGGAUCUCGAAUUCAGAGCCAGUCUCAGCAAUGGUGAGGCGCUAAGCAACUCAGUGAGACCCUGUCUCUA
rnacentral:sRNA from 1 species